CUUAGGUUAAUCCUUUUAUUGCCAGAAAAAUGAACAAAACUAAUCCCUCUUUGUCUAGGAAAUGAAUAGGAUAUAGAUAUACACAAUAAUUCUUUAUGUAAUCAAAAACAAAAUAUUAUAGUAGGUAGUGAACAUAUACAUUUUGGAAAAAUAAGGACCAACAGAUUAACAUUAGCUGAGUAAUUUAAAAAUGGUUUCUUCUACUUUUGCAAAAACAGAAUAAGGGUUGGGGAUUCC